GACAGAGGUCUCGAGCGUUAGGCGGAAUCACUGGGCUUAAAGCGUGUGUAGGCGGAUCGGUAAGUACCUUGUGAAAUCCCACAGCUUAACUGUGGAACUGCUUGGUAUACUGCCAGUCUUGAGCCACUUAGGGGCUACCGGAACAAAUGGUGGAGCGGUGAAAUGCGUAGAUAUCAUUUGGAACGCCAAUGGUGAAAACAGGUAGCUGGGAGUGUGCUGACGCUGAGACACGAAAGCCAGGGGAGCGAACGGG
rnacentral:rRNA from 1 species